rnacentral:rRNA from 1 species
GUCGUCAGCUCGUGUCGUGAGAUGUUGGGUUAAGUCCCGCAACGAGCGCAACCCUUAUCAUUAGUUGCUACGCAAGGGCACUCUAAUGAGACUGCCGGUGACAAACCGGAGGAAGGUGGGGAUGACGUCAAGUCCUCAUGGCCCUUAUGGGUAGGGCUUCACACGUCAUACAAUGGUCGGUACAGAGGGUUGCCAACCCGCGAGGGGGAGCUAAUCCCACAAAGCCGAUCGUAGUCCGGAUCGCAGUCUGCAACUCGACUGCGUGAAGUCGGAAUCGCUAGUAAUCGUGGAUCAGCAUGUCACGGUGAAUACGUUCCCGGGUCUU